rnacentral:rRNA from 1 species
AGAGUUUGAUCAUGGCUCAGAACGAACGNNGCGGCGUGCUUAAUACAUGCAAGUCGAACGUGAAUCCCGACUUCGGUUGGGAUGAAAGUGGCGAACGGGUGAGUAACACGUAAGUAAUCUGCCUUCAAGUUUGGGAUAACCCUGCCAACGCGGGGCUAAUACCGGAUGUGGUCCAGCUGACACAUGUUGGCUGGAUUAAAGGUCGCGAGGCCGCUUGGAGAUGAGCUUGCGGCCCAUUAGUUAGUUGGUGAGGUAACGGCCCACCAAGACGAAGAUGGGUAGCCGGCCUGAGAGGGUGUACGGCCACAUUGGGACUGAGAUACGGCCCAGACUCCUACGGGAGGCAGCAGUAGGGAAUUUUGCGCAAUGGACGGAAGUCUGACGCAGCAACGCCGCGUGAAGGAUGACGGCCUUCGGGUUGUAAACUUCUGUUGGAUGGGAAAAAAAGCCUAGGAAUAGGAAUUGAUGGUACCAUUCGAGUAAGCACCGGCUAACUACGUGCCAGCAGCCGCGGUAAU